UACACAUGCAAGUCGAGGGGAAACGGCAUUAAGUGCUUGCACUUUUUGGACGUCGACCGGCGCACGGGUGAGUAACGCGUAUCCAACCUUCCCAUGACUAAGGGAUAACCUGCCGAAAGGCAGACUAAUACCUUAUGGUCUUCACUGACGGCAUCAGAUGUGAAGUAAAGAUUUAUCGGUUAUGGAUGGGGAUGCGUCUGAUUAGCUUGUUGGCGGGGUAACGGCCCACCAAGGCAACGAUCAGUAGGGGUUCUGAGAGGAAGGUCCCCCACAUUGGAACUGAGACACGGUCCAAACUCCUACGGGAGGCAGCAGUGAGGAAUAUUGGUCAAUGGGCGAGAGCCUGAACCAGCCAAGUAGCGUGCAGGAUGACGGCCCUAUGGGUUGUAAACUGCUUUUGUAUGGGGAUAAAGUCAAUCACGUGUGAUUGUUUGCAGGUACCAUACGAAUAAGGACCGGCUAAUUCCGUGCCAGCAGCCGCGGUAAUACGGAAGGUCCGGGCGUUAUCCGGAUUUAUUGGGUUUAAAGGGAGCGUAGGCUGGAGAUUAAGUGUGUUGUGAAAUGUAGACGCUCAACGUCUGACUUGCAGCGCAUACUGGUUUCCUUGAGUACGCACAACGUUGGCGGAAUUCGUCGUGUAGCGGUGAAAUGCUUAGAUAUGACGAAGAACUCCGAUUGCGAAGGCAGCUGACGGGAGCGCAACUGACGCUGAAGCUCGAAGGUGCGGGUAUCGAACAGGAUUAGAUACCCUGGUAGUCCGCACAGUAAACGAUGGAUGCCCGCUGUUGGUACUUGGUAUCAGCGGCUAAGCGAAAGCAUUAAGCAU
rnacentral:rRNA from 1 species